AGUAUACACGUCUGUGUGCAGUGACCAUUUCAUCAAAGGUGCCAAAUCUGAUGACCCGCUGUCCCCUGAUUGGGUUCCAUCUGUCUUCUCUCACACCUGCCACCAAAAGGAGGAAGAGGGAGAAAGACAUGGAAAGCUUGUCCCAUCAUUUCUAUUUUGGCCACAGAGAGAAGAGCUUCGGCUGUCAAUGCCCAUGAUAUUUAGACAAACUUACCCUAGAUGUGCCUGCAUAAUUAGUUUAUAGAAAAACCCAAAGACUUAGAAGCAAGAGCACACAUAUUCGACCUAUAAGCACCCUCAAUCAAUACAAUGUAAAUAUGGAAUUAUUUAUUUAUACAAACACACACUGUAAAUAAUAAUAAUUAAUGAAUAUAUGACAUUUUAUAUAUUACAAUAAUACAUGUAUUCCAUUUUCACUUUAAAUACCUUUGUGCAUUGUAUUUAUUUGUAUUCAUCUGUUUUAUUUAUCUAUGUAUGUGCAUUUUAUUUAUUUAUUGAAUAAAUCUGUAAUUGUCUGUCUAACAGUGCAAUUCAAAAUGUA